GACGGACGCUGGCGGCGUGCUUAACACAUGCAAGUCGAACGGAAAGGCCCUGCUUUUGUGGGGUGCUCGAGUGGCGAACGGGUGAGUAACACGUGGGUAACCUGCCCUUGACUUUGGGAUAACUUCAGGAAACUGGGGCUAAUACCGGAUAGGAGCUCCUGCUGCAUGGUGGGGGUUGGAAAGUUUCGGCGGUUGGGGAUGGACUCGCGGCUUAUCAGCUUGUUGGUGGGGUAGUGGCUUACCAAGGCUUUGACGGGUAGCCGGCCUGAGAGGGUGACCGGCCACAUUGGGACUGAGAUACGGCCCAGACUCCUACGGGAGGCAGCAGUGGGGAAUAUUGCACAAUGGGCGGAAGCCUGAUGCAGCAACGCCGCGUGCGGGAUGACGGCCUUCGGGUUGUAAACCGCUUUCGCCUGUGACGAAGCGUGAGUGACGGUAAUGGGUAAAGAAGCACCGGCUAACUACGUG
rnacentral:rRNA from 1 species